rnacentral:rRNA from 1 species
UUAUACAGCGAAACUGCGAAUGGCUCAUUAAAUCAGUUAUCGUUUAUUUGAUAGUACCUUACUACUUGGAUAACCGUGGUAAUUCUAGAGCUAAUACAUGCUAAAAACCCCGACUCACGAAGGGGUGUAUUUAUUAGAUUAAAAACCAAUGCCCUUCGGGGCUCUUUGGUGAUUCAUAAUAACUUUUCGAAUCGCAUGGCCUUGCGCCGGCGAUGGUUCAUUCAAAUUUCUGCCCUAUCAACUUUCGAUGGCAGGGUCUUGGCCUGCCAUGGUUACAACGGGUAACGGAGGGUUAGGGCUCGACCCCGGAGAAGGAGCCUGAGAAACGGCUACUACAUCCAAGGAAGGCAGCAGGCGCGCAAAUUACCCAAUCCCGAUUCGGGGAGGUAGUGACAAUAAAUACUGAUACAGGGCUCUUUUGGGUCUUGUAAUUGGAAUGAGUACAAUUUAUUAUACAGCGAAACUGCGAAUGGCUCAUUAAAUCAGUUAUCGUUUAUUUGAUAGUACCUUACUACUUGGAUAACCGUGGUAAUUCUAGAGCUAAUACAUGCUAAAAACCCCGACUCACGAAGGGGUGUAUUUAUUAGAUUAAAAACCAAUGCCCUUCGGGGCUCUUUGGUGAUUCAUAAUAACUUUUCGAAUCGCAUGGCCUUGCGCCGGCGAUGGUUCAUUCAAAUUUCUGCCCUAUCAACUUUCGAUGGCAGGGUCUUGGCCUGCCAUGGUUACAACGGGUAACGGAGGGUUAGGGCUCGACCCCGGAGAAGGAGCCUGAGAAACGGCUACUACAUCCAAGGAAGGCAGCAGGCGCGCAAAUUACCCAAUCCCGAUUCGGGGAGGUAGUGACAAUAAAUACUGAUACAGGGCUCUUUUGGGUCUUGUAAUUGGAAUGAGUACAAUUUAAAUCCCUUAACGAGGAACAAUUGGAGGGCAAGUCUGGUGCAUUUUGUUGGUUUCUAGGACCGCCGUAAUGAUUAAUAGGGACAGUCGGGGGCAUCAGUAUUCAAUUGUCAGAGGUGAAAUUCUUGGAUUUAUUGAAGACUAACUACUGCGAAAGCAUUUGCCAAGGAUGUUUUCAUUAAUCAGGAACGAAAGUUAGGGGAUCGAAGACGAUCAGAUACCGUCGUAGUCUUAACCAUAAACUAUGCCGACUAGGGAUCGGACGGUGUUACUUAUUGACCCGUUCGGCACCUUACGAGAAAUCAAAGUC